rnacentral:lncRNA from 1 species
GCAUAUUACUUUUACUUAUAUCAACUCAACUCAACAGUGCCUUUUAUCCCAAACAAGUUGAGGGGUAGACAUUUUUACUUUUGUAAGAAUCUAAAUAUAUCCUUGACAGCCUUUACACCUUUUACAUAUCUCUAACAAGGUUCAAAUCAUCUACAACUCAUUUUGGAAGAUGGCUCGAAACUCUUUUUUAAACAUGAACUUGAAUGCACUGCUAUGCCCUGCUUCUUUGUCUUUUCUGGAGGUUGCAAAUCUACCACAAUGCAGAUUGUGUCAUCUCAAAGUCCUUUGAAUAUGGGAGCAAAUUAUUGAAACCAGAUAUUUAUAAACUAAGAAAAAAGAAUUGAUCAGAGAAACAAAAUUAUUUGACAAGAGGCAAGCAUCAUAUACUUUUAACUAUUUGUGAAGCUGCAGCAUCCGGUGGCAUUCCACGACUAUGCUAUUCUGGAGCCACGUAACUGCAAAUGACAUAAAUAAUGAUGUUUGAUUACUGAAACACAGUGAAUAUCCCAUCAAAUAAUGAUAUUAAAAACGAAGACCAAGGCACAAAUGUGAUAUAAAGGGAAUCACAAACAUUACCCAAACGUUCCCAUUACUCUGGUAGUUAUGUGACUUUCUCCUGAAUCCAAGAGCUUGGCCAAUCCAAAGUCAGAAACUUUGGAAUUGAAUUCCUGAUCAAUCAGAAUAUUGCUAGAUUUUAUGUCUCGGUGAACAACUUUUGGUUCAAUAGCUUCAUGCAAGUAGGCAAGCCUGCAAACCAUCAUUAUAGGAUAUAUAUGUACGCAACACACGCAAACCUUAUGGUAUCCGACAUAAGAAGGCAACGACAUCGCCUAGGGAUGUCCACCGAGAGCUUUCAAAUCAUUUUCUGUUUGGACAGUUUGUAGUCAAAUAAGAAGGAAAAUGCUUGUUCCCCGAAAAUUGGAGAACUUUGUCAUUGUAUAGCACUACAAUUUGUUCUUAUUGUCAGUAAGGAGUCUUACAAUUGUAAGAAAAUUAAUUGGAUGGAAAGUCCAUAUGCUCUAAAUUAAGUAAGACUUGCUAAUGUAAUCUAGGGGAAAAAAGAAAAUUAGGUUGGGUAAUAUGAAAAAAAAUCUGUCUUAACAAGGGCCUACCACAAAUAAAACUGGAUUUGAUUAAUAGUGAUUAUCCUCUGUUUCUCAUUUAUUUAUCUGUUUUGUUAUAGUUUCUGGCAAACCUUAUCCUUUGGAGAAUGGCAUUCCUCCAGCUCCUGUCCCAACACCAACAGCAGGCAAUGUUUCAGGUACUAAUUGUUUCUAUAUUAGCUAUGGAAGUAUUAAAGCCAUUCUUCUGCAAUCAGAACAAUUAGCUGCAUUGCAAUUUGGAAGUCUUAUAAUGGAAGCGAUUCCUGGAAGCAUAUCUUGAUGUUUUGUUAUGGUCGGUAAGAGAUGUUAUAGACAAGAGAUGCAAAUCAAGUUGGUGUUCAUAGAAAUAUAAUGAAUGAACUGGUUAGUGUGACGCCCCCAAAUCCGGGUUAUCUUUAACUCGGGUAUGGUGCUCUAGAAAUAUAAUGAAUGACUAGUUAGUGUGACGCCCCCAAAUCCGGGUUAUCUUUAACUCGGGUAUGGUGCUCACGAUACUAGAAUACUCAUUCAUACUAUAAGGAAACUGUCUUAUAUUACAUAAAUAUCGAACUUAAAUCCCAGGUUCUAGAGACCUUUACAUACAAUACAAACCAAAUAUUAUUACAACAUAUAUAUUGCUUAUACCUUAUUAGGAUUUUAACACUUUAAUGCUUCAUGUCUUGGUCUAGAGAUUUUAGUAUACAAGGUAGCUUAUUUUAUGAUUUUGCAAGUAUCUACCAUUUGGUUGAGUAAUUUAUAAUUCUCACUUUAUAGGUUAUUCUUGCAUAUUAAAGUGGAACAUUCUUAAUUUUUCCUCUCUAUGCCAAAAUAGUCCCAACUUGAUCAACUUGUGGCAGUCGAUCUUUGUUUGGCCGUUUGGGGUUUAGGCAGGCUUUGUGUUCAAGGUUAACUACCUAAUUAGAACUGCCUUAGCAAUUCUUUGAUUUGUGACCUGCUACUGCCUAAAGGCAGUAGCUUUACUUCCUUUCUCUUUACUUACCUAUAUGAUUUUGAGACAUGUCCCACACACUUGCUUAUUUAAAUUUAGAAUUUGAUGGGCAAGUUUUUGAGUUGCACCAUAAAGCCUAAAAUGGCUUUUCCAAGUCAGCAGCAAAACAAUAGUAUACUAGCUAAUCAAUAUGUGCAAGGCACUGCUAUAACAGUUACUUAUUCUAAACUGCGGCUGCUGAAAAUAAUGGGCAGUACCCUGCCCUCUUUUCUUCUUUCCUAUUCUAAGUUUGAAGCUCACUUUUACUUAAGGUUUGCACAUGAUAGGUAAGCUCUUUAAUCACACUUUAAAGCAAAAAUUGGGUUUCUAAAACUGCUAUAGCAGUUAUCUGCUCAAACAGUUCUUUUUUUUUUCUCCCAUCAUGAAAGCAGCCAUUAAAGCAUGGCUUUGACAUCUGAUCUUGGAAACUGAAGAGGGCCAUUUACCUAUUGUGGUUGGUUACAGCUGCUGUCCUUGGGCAGUAGCUGGCUCUUUUGACCUCACUUUGCUACCUCUUCAAGGAUCUAAUAUUUUAAUAACUGAUGCUAACAGAAAAUCACAAGGAAGCAAGCCAGAAAAAUAAAAAUUUGGUUCCUGCUGCUGCCAUUAGGCAGCAGCCCUGCCUCCCCUGGCUCCUUAACCCAUUCCCAGGAAUCCUCUAACCUCAGUUUUGCUAGAUUUCUAGGAACAGACCUCUUGGCUAUAAUCUUUUAGAGUUCUAAAGUUAUCCCAAUUGGCGCCUAUAAAGCUUUGGCUCCUUGGUUUAGUGACUGUUUCAACAGAGUAGGCAAAGGAGUUUGUCAAGCUAGAAUUACUUAGCCUAAAAACUGAACUAUGCUAAAAUCUUUCUAUGCCAAAACAUUUCAGUCAUCACAUAUGUUGGGUAAAUCAAGUAAAUAGUUUACUUGUUCUACUAUUCAGUUCCUUUUUACCAAAACAGUUCUCUUAGGUCUUUUAUCAAACAGUUGGUGGGCAUGGUUAUAAGCUACUAGUUCCACAGCCCUUUGUUUAUAUUACAACCCAUUUUAUCCUCCUUAUUUCUCCACAGCCCAUCCUAUCUCCUCUACUCAAACUCAGUCAUCAAUAGUGCAAUAUUUAGUCAUCAAUACAGUCCUCAUAAUACCAUGGCAGUUAGUAAGGUCACACAAGUAAGACUAGCAGUCAGUCAACAUAGCAAUUUAGCAUAGUAGUGAAUUUUAAUACUACAACAGUUAGUAAAGCAACACAUAACAGUUCAUAUAAUGAAAUAACAGUUAGUAUAGCAACUAAAGUCCUUCUAGCAGUCAUUUAUGCUCAUUCCAGCCACAAGUAUAUUGUCAUAGUCCAUUAAGUAUACCAGUUCUGGGCAUGAUAAUAUAAUUUACAAUCAUAAAUAACCAACCAUUUUGGGACUCUUUUUUUUUCCAGCCACACUGUUUUGCCAUUUAGCAGUUUUAGAUUAGUAUCUUAGGCAUGGUUCAUCACACCAAAACAGUAGCAAGCACUGAUAUGUAUGCCUUUCUAACACAAACAUUUUGUCUACCAUAUAUUCAUGAUUUAAAGCAUCUAAGUCAAGGUUUUUAUGCUUUUAGGCCAACACAGCCCUCUUUAGGAUUUAAUUUCCAAAAACAAACAUGGUUUACCCCUAUGUUUACAAGGAUAGCAUGAAAGUGCAAUAUAAAGGCUUAUACUAUCUUUUUAUAUGAUAUUUAUCAUACAUAACAUAUAUUUGAUUGGUAUUGAAUAGCUUACACCAUAUCAGUCCUUAUCAAGCCUCUAGUCUAGCAUACAAGGUUUUUAAAAUAGUGGCUAAGUCUUACAUAAUAUACCAAACCACAUAGUCUACAAGCUUAGCUGACUUUACUUGAUUAUUUAUCUUGAUAUUGUAGUCAUAAGUUCUGACUGCACACUUAGCCUAAUCUUUUAGCAUAUAGCAGUCCAUUUAAUAUCACAGCAGUCCAUAUGGUAACACAGAUCAUGCUAACCGAAAUCACAUUAUUAUUAACUUUGAAAAAUUUGUAACUCUUUGAUUUCACAUACUUAAGUAACACUUUAAUGAGGUUGUCCCUAUUGAUUAGUAAUCACUGGCUACCCUAAUAUUAACAGUAUAGCAGCUCCUUUAUGUUACUUUAGUUUCAAUCUUGAAUAUUACUCAACUAGUUACAAUGAGAAGGUGAACUCUUUUAGCAUGCUCGAUACUUUAGUAAUAAUAUAUGGUUUAUUCGAUAUCCUUUUCUUUAAAUCACAGUUAGCAUAAACCAUAAACUAAAUCAGUCCUUAGCUUGGCAAAUCAUCAAACACCUAGAGUGCAGUUCUUAUAUAUGCAUAUAUUACAUACUCUCUUAGCUCAUUGUCUCCCAGCCGUAUGGCUUAAACAACAACAAGCAUAGGACUACACUAAACAGUCCCAAUCACAAUAGUUCAAAUAACAUGAAAACAGUCAUCAUAUUAAGUUACCAUAACAGCCAUACACGUUCUCUGGUCACUGACAGUUCAUUUUGCUAAUUAAUUCAAUAGCCAUCCUAAUCAUUUAUCAGUUCAGUUGCUACCCGGAAUGAAUGGAAAGAUUAGAAAGGCCAGAAUUGGCUUACCUUGUUGAUUCGAAGGUGUCAAGUGGGUUGAGCUGCUCAAUUCCUUUUCCCCUCUAGCCGAACUCUGCUGAUAUCACUGUCAGUUGGCUCUCUUUUUCUUUCUUACUGUGUUAAAGCCUUGGGAAGUCAGUUAAGGGGUGGGACAAGAGGUUAAAUAGCUGAACUUUUCUUUGGUCAUGCCAAGCUCUGCCCCUAGCCGGCCCCUACCAGCCUCCCUACCAAGCUGGGAGCAAUCAAUACUAGUCUAGUUCCUUUGGCUCCUUCCAGCCACCCUAGCUCACCUACUACCCCUUAUCUUCUGCAAGCCUAUUUCACCUGCUAUUUGUCUGCUAUUAAUCUAACUGACCUGCUAAAACAGAACUAACUUAGAAACCAUAUGCUUGCUGUCUGACUAUGUUUCAAGUUAUGCCCGAGUUUUUCUUAGUUAGUUUGAAGCAGCUAGCUGGUUAUACACUAAUGUGGUUUACAGGAUUGAGUCAUGAC